rnacentral:rRNA from 1 species
UACGAAGGGAGCUAGCGUUGUUCGGAAUCACUGGGCGUAAAGCGCACGUAGGCGGAUGUGUCAGUCAGGGGUGAAAUCCCGGAGCUCAACUUCGGAACUGCCUUUGAUACAGCACGUCUUGAGUCCGGAAGAGGUGGGUGGAAUUCCUAGUGUAGAGGUGAAAUUCGUAGAUAUUAGGAAGAACACCGGUGGCGAAGGCGGCCCACUGGUCCGGUACUGACGCUGAGGUGCGAAAGCCAGGGGAGCAAACGGG